rnacentral:rRNA from 1 species
GACGAACGCUGGCGGCGUGCUUAACACAUGCAAGUCGAACGGAAAGGCCCUGCUUUUGUGGGGUGCUCGAGUGGCGAACGGGUGAGUAACACGUGAGUAACCUGCCCUUGACUUUGGGAUAACUUCAGGAAACUGGGGCUAAUACCGGAUAGGAGCUCCUGCUGCAUGGUGGGGGUUGGAAAGUUUCGGCGGUUGGGGAUGGACUCGCGGCUUAUCAGCUUGUUGGUGGGGUAGUGGCUUACCAAGGCUUUGACGGGUAGCCGGCCUGAGAGGGUGACCGGCCACAUUGGGACUGAGAUACGGCCCAGACUCCUACGGGGGGCAGCAGUGGGGAAUAUUGCACAAUGGGCGGAAGCCUGAUGCAGCGACGCCGCGUGCGGGAUGACGGCCUUCGGGUUGUAAACCGCUUUCGCCUGUGACGAAGCGUGAGUGACGGUAAUGGGUAAAGAAGCACCGGCUAACUACGUGCCAGCAGCCGCGGUGAUACGUAGGGUGCGAGCGUUGUCCGGAUUUAUUGGGCGUAAAGGGCUCGUANGUGGUUGAUCGCGUCGGAAGUGUAAUCUUGGGGCUUAACCCUGAGCGUGCUUUCGAUACGGGUUGACUUGAGGAAGGUAGGGGAGAAUGGAAUUCCUGGUGGAGCGGUGGAAUGCGCAGAUAUCAGGAGGAACACCAGUGGCGAAGGCGGUUCUCUGGGCCUUUCCUGACGCUGAGGAGCGAAAGCGUGGGGAGCGAACAGGCUUAGAUACCCUGGUAGUCCACGCUGUAAACGGUGGGUACUAGGUGUGGGGUCCAUUCCACGGGUUCCGUGCCGUAGCUAACGCUUUAAGUACCCCGCCUGGGGAGUACGGCCGCAAGGCUAAAACUCAAAGGAAUUGACGGGGCCCCGCACAAGCGGCGGAGCAUGCGGAUUAAUUCGAUGCAACGCGUAGAACCUUACCUGGGUUUGACAUGGAUCGGGAGUGCUCAGAGAUGGGUGUGCCUCUUUUGGGGUCGGUUCACAGGUGGUGCAUGGCUGUCGUCAGCUCGUGUCGUGAGAUGUUGGGUUAAGUCCCGCAACGAGCGCAACCCUUGUUCACUGUUGCCAGCACGUUAUGGUGGGGACUCAGUGGAGACCGCCGGGGUCAACUCGGAGGAAGGUGGGGAUGACGUCAAGUCAUCAUGCCCCUUAUGUCCAGGGCUUCACGCAUGCUACAAUGGCUGGUACAGAGAGUGGCGAGCCUGUGAGGGUGAGCGAAUCUCGGAAAGCCGGUCUCAGUUCGGAUUGGGGUCUGCAACUCGACCUCAUGAAGUCGGAGUCGCUAGUAAUCGCAGAUCAGCAACGCUGCGGUGAAUACGUUCCCGGG